AGAGUUAAAUAGUACGUGAAAUUGUUGAAAGGGAAACGAUUGAAGCCAGUCGUACUUGCGGGUAAUCAGCCUUUUGGGUGUGAUUAUGUGGAGUUUGAGAAGUUCUCAUCUUUGCAAUAUUCGUGCACUUUGGGUGUACUUGCUCGUGUGGUAGGUUAACAUCAAUUUUGGUCAUCAUAAAAUGGCUGGGGGAAUGUAGCUUCGAUCUCGUAUUGAAGUGUUAUAGCCUUUGGUAGAUGUGAUGAUUGGGAUUGAGGAUUGCAACGGAUACCCUUCGGGCUACCUGUCUGAUCUCUGGGAGUUGCUCUGGUGCUGAAAGCUUGCUUAUGGUAUCAAAGUUGACGUUCAAUAGGUUAGAACGGGUUAAAUUCGUUAAGGAUGUUGACGUAAUGGCUUUAAACGA
rnacentral:misc_RNA from 1 species